AGAGUUGAUCAUGGCUCAGGAUGAACGCUAGCGGCAGGCUUAAUACAUGCAAGUCGAGGGGCAGCACGGUAUAGCAAUAUAUGGGUGGCGACCGGCAAACGGGUGCGGAACACGUACACAACCUUCCGGUGAGCGGGGGAUAGCCCAGAGAAAUUUGGAUUAAUACCCCAUACUAUAAUGAUCAGGCAUCUGGUUAUUAUCAAAGGCUUCGGCCGCUUAUUGAUGGGUGUGCGUCUGAUUAGGUAGUUGGCGGGGUAGAGGCCCACCAAGCCUACGAUCAGUAGCUGAUGUGAGAGCAUGAUCAGCCACACGGGCACUGAGACACGGGCCCGACUCCUACGGGAGGCAGCAGUAAGGAAUAUUGGACAAUGGACGCAAGUCUGAUCCAGCCAUGCCGCGUGAAGGAUGAAUGCCCUCUGGGUUGUAAACUUCUUUUACAGGGGAAGAAAGUUAUCUUUUUUAGGAUAUUUGACGGUACCCUAUGAAUAAGCACCGGCUAACUCCGUGCCAGCAGCCGCGGUAAUACGGAGGGUGCAAGCGUUAUCCGGAUUCACUGGGUCUAAAGGGUGCGUAGGCGGGUAUGUAAGUCAGUGGUGAAAUACCGGAGCUUAACUUCGGAACUGCCAUUGAUACUAUAUAUCUUGAAUAUUGUGGAGGUAAGCGGAAUAUGUCAUGUAGCGGUGAAAUGCUUAGAGAUGACACAGAACACCGAUUGCGAAGGCAGCUUACUACGCAAAUAUUGACGCUGAGGCACGAAAGCGUGGGGAUCAAACAGGAUUAGAUACCCUGGUAGUCC
rnacentral:rRNA from 1 species